UUCAACCAAAGACAGUAGGUGCCGUUUCGGCGUAAGCAUUGUCGCCUACCGAGGAAUGAGCAUUAUGUAUUGCAGAAAUGCGCUUUUUAUGUAAUGUUGUGCAUCCUCGUUUUGGGGAUGCACUUUUUAUUUGGAU
rnacentral:sRNA from 1 species